CCAGGGGCUGGCCAAUGACCAGGCCGCCCGGGAUGAGCUAAUAAUGGAAGCAAUUUGUAACUUUCAGUAGCUCUCUAGGCCUGGGUACCGGAGGGAGGGAGGCGGGCAGAGGAGGGGAGAUGGGCACCCCCAGUCUUUCCAUCCUCCUCAUUCGUCUAGGGGCACCCGAAUCCCCUAUUCCUUAUUUCCCCUAUCACUCAGGCACUGGCAGGGUCCUUUGCCCACUCCUGUUGGCCGCUGCGGCUCCAAAGCGAGCUGGGCAGAUGUGCCUGACACAGGUUUGACCAGGCAACUGAAAAGACAUCUCUAAGAGAAGACAAAGCAAAGGUAUGAAAGGAACACACGUCCCUGACUGACUAGGAGGAACAGAGCUGCCUGCUAUCUGGAACAACUUCCUCCCAGACUAAGUGAGGCCCGGAGAGAAGAUAUGACUUGCUUAAGGUCACACACUUAGUUUCUCUGUCAAUCUUUCUAAAUCGAGGACGAGUUCUCUUCCCACUGUAUCAGGCUGCCUCAACAAACAGGGAAGUACAAAAAUAGCCAAAUCCAGGAAGGAGGGCAGUGGUCUGUGUGUCCUCCAAUUAUUUCAUGGGACAGCCAAGCCUAUUUUCUUGAUUUCCCUUGUGCCCCUCCUGUCGGAUAUCUGCUUUGGGACCCAUCUCUUUUGGGCUUGCAGAGAGAACGGGCUGCACCAGCUCUCUGCCCUCUGCAUCACCCAGAUGGUCAAACAUGCAAAGGGAAAGGAGAGCUGGGGCCAGAGUCAAGGCAGGCAAAGAGACUCCUCGACCCCCUCCAGUCUUUCCACAUUUAUAUUUUUGGAAUUUCAGGCUCCCUCCUCCCCCGGGACCUUUCCUAGUAGCCCACCAGGGAGAAGAAGAGGGAAAACUGUCAUAAAUUUCUCCUAUUUAUACAAGAUGACAGAGUUUCUUGUGCCAGAAAAAACACAGAAAGGGA
rnacentral:lncRNA from 1 species